UUCAAUAUGUAUCGUGUAUUAAUAUAGUAUAUGUUGCACCGGAUAAAAUGUUGUUAACCCUCUUGCUGCCGAAGGAACACAUAUGUCAAUCAUGUUAAAUUGAUACAAGCUUCUCAUCAAUGCUGUAUCUCUUUCAGUUAAAAGACCAAGAUAACAGUGUUAUGUUUUUCUUCAAUAGGUCCCAAAUGUAAAGGUAAUUAGUUCGUGACGUCAUAUAUCAAAGGACGUUGUUGUUUGGCAUGUUACGUCACAGACGCCUAGCUGUCGUAUUUAUGCAACCUUGAAAAACGGUCAGCAGCAAGAGGGUUAAAGUAGUUAUUAUGAUAUGACAAUCUCUCUAUCGACUUGAGUCAGCAAAAGGAAGUUAAAUAAUAAGAUGGACUUUUAUUUGUAUUUUUAUAACAUUACCGA
rnacentral:lncRNA from 1 species